GCAUUGACAAGAUGUUACAAAGCGCUUUACAAAUGGAUUGAUAACACCAACCUUUCCUUUGGCAGCUUCUUCUCGAAGAUAACGCCACAACCGAAUACCUACAGGAGCCAUUUGAAAUUUCUCCUGAAAACUUAAAGUGAAUAGUGAAAGAGCAAUUUCCUCACUAUUUAACUUUCUUUGCCAGGUCAAUGAUGCAGGUUUCCCGGGGUCAACCUUAUCCAACAAAGAAUUAGAAGCUUCUCUGUCCUCUUGAUUGAACCCGUUCUCCAGUAACUCUUCAUCAAACAUCCUUCCUGCACUAGACAGAUGAUAAGCAAAUCAAUCCAAUUGCAUUUAGACAAUUUAAGUUAUAUUUGCCUUUAUGCACUAAUUAGUUUGC
rnacentral:misc_RNA from 1 species